AAAGCGUGCGCAGGCGGUUUUGUAAGUCAGAUGUGAAAUCCCCGAGCUCAACUUGGGAACUGCGUUUGAAACUACAAGGCUAGAGUAUGGUAGAGGGGGGUAGAAUUCCACGUGUAGCAGUGAAAUGCGUAGAGAUGUGGAGGAAUACCAAUGGCGAAGGCAGCCCCCUGGACUAAUACUGACGCUCAUGCACGAAAGCGUGGGGAGCAAACAGGAUUAGAUACCCUAGU
rnacentral:rRNA from 1 species